ACUCAAAUGAAUAGACGGGGACCCGCACAAGCGGUGGAGCAUGUGGUUUAAUUCGACGCAACGCGAAGAACCUUACCUGGACUAGAAUGCGCGGGAAGCUUGGUUAACGCCAAGCGUCCGGGAAACCGGACCCAAAGCAAGGUGCUGCAUGGCUGUCGUCAGCUCGUGUCGUGAGAUGUUGGGUUAAGUCCCGCAACGAGCGCAACCCUUAACUUUAGUUGCCAUCAUUAAGUUGGGAACUCUAAAGUGACUGCCGUUGAUAAAACGGAGGAAGGUGGGGAUGAUGUCAAGUCAUCAUGGCCUUUAUGUUCAGGGCUACACACGUGCUACAAUGGCCGGUACAAAACGUCGCAAUCCCGCAAGGGGGAGCCAAUCGCUAAAACCGGUCUCAGUUCGGAUUGAAGUCUGCAACUCGACUUCAUGAAGUUGGAAUCGCUAGUAAUCGCAAAUCAGCAUGUUGCGGUGAAUACGUUCCCGGGUCUUGCACACACCGCCCGU
rnacentral:rRNA from 1 species